AGAAAUCUUAAUAAAAUAUUAAAAUAAAAACCUUAAUUAAAUCCUAAUCAAAUUCUAAUAAAAUCCUAAAUAAAUCCUAGACAAAUUCUAAUAAAUCUUAAUCAAAUCCUAAUCAAAUCCUAAACAAACUCUAAAAAAACCUUAACCAAAUCUUAAUAAAACUCUAAACAAAUCCUAAACAAAUCCUAAUCAAAUCCUAAAUAAAUCCUAAUCAAAUCCUAAACAAACUCUAAUCAAAUCCUAAAAAAAUCCUAAAUAAAUCCUAAUCAAAUCCUAAAUACAUCCUAGUCAAAUCCUAACAAAUCCUAACUAAAUCCUAAUCAAAUUCUAACCAAAUUCCAACCAAAUCCUAGUCAAAUCCUAAACAAAUCCUAAUCAAAUCUUAAAUAAAUCCUAUUCAAAUCCUAAACAAUCUUGACCAAAUUCUAAAUAAAUCUAAAAAAAAGAUACCUAACCCUAAUCAACUUUACACAUACCACAACCAAACCCUAAAUAAUCCCAAAUAAAUCCUAUAGUAGAUUUAAAUCUCAAUAACUAAUGAAUGAACUAUUGAUUUUAACUCAAAUUUUUCACACCUCUUCACAAUUAAGUUAAAAACAAGCAUAAAUUUUUUGAAAAAGAUCAAUUUCACCAAAAAGAAGAUCAACUCUAAUAUUUUUUUGGAUGUUGGCUGGCCUCUUUCUUCAAUCUGAAUGUUGAAUUUCCAGUGUCAAUAUCUCCUCACCGAACCAUUCAAUUGAUUUCAAAUUUUUUGCAUAUGUAGAAAAAUAAGUCUAUUAUAUAUAUACAUAAUUUUUACUCCAAUUCAACUAAUAGAUUACAAGAAAUCUAAGAAAUCCUCAUUAGACCUAAAACUCUAUUUUUUGAGAUUCUAACCUACUUAAACCUCAAUAAUCCUUGAUCCAACCUUUCGAUCAAGCUCAAACUCACAGCAUAUAUUGAAUACAUAUAUAUCCACAAAUCUUCAAAGUUUUACUUGUAAAUCUAUUGCCAAACUUAUAAAAAUUUUCAGAAAUUAUUAUCUACUUUAUUUCACAAAUCUAGAGUCACCCAAAACAAACCUUAACUUUGCAAAGCUCUUACAAAGUCAAUAUACACUCAAAUCACCCCAAAUCAACACUCAAAGAAAAUCUAUCAAGUUAGAUCUUAGACCUAUUUUCCAAUCUCCAAAAGAAUCCUAGAAUCAUAGUCGGAGCUCAGUUUUGUGCCUUGAAUCUGAUUUCGAUCCUAUUUCAUAACUAGCCCUCUCUAGGUAUCAAUGUCUAGCUUUUCUAGAUAAUAUUUCCUAGAAACUACUCUUAAUUUCUUUUUAAAGUUGCCUAUAUUUUUUAUUUUUCUAAUCUAUCUUAUUUUGCUCUAUUUGUGAUCCUACAAAGUCAAUAGAAGCCUAUUUUGUAAAAAGGCAGUAUUAGCACCUUUAAUUUUUCUACCUCUUGACUAUUAUCUAUUUUUUCAAGAUAAUUUUUUCCAAUAUAUUUGAAAUAAGAUCUUCAAAAAUGUGAUAUUUUCUUCAUCCUUUCACCUAUUAGCCAUUUUACAUCAUGAUAAUAUCUCUAGUUUCUUUGUCUUUUGGCAAUAGCCAUUUUAGUUUUUUUUUUAGUAUACAUACUUCUCUAUUUCUAUUUUGUCAUAUUUCUUUAAAUGAGCUUCAUUUGAUUAUUUGCUUUCAUUGAGUUCUUGUCUUUAACAUAAAGUAAAAGAAGAUGUUAAAUUUCUAUAUGAAAAAUUGAUUUAUACAAAUAAAGAAGAAAGUUUUGAAUAUCAUGGAUUAGAAAAGAAUUUACUACAAAAGUUGGGAGACUUGUGUUACUCAGAAGAUAGAGAUUCAAAACUAUUACCAAACACAAAGGAUCUUGUAAUUAUAGAAUACAUAAAUGAAUAAAUUUUUGGAGAAGUUUAUAAAUCAAAGUGGUUGAAACUUCUCUAUUCAACUAAAAAGAUGAAUCUUGAUAUUUAUGAAUUGUUUAUCAAAGAAAUUAGUAUUUUAAUAAAUUUAGGCCAUUCGAACUUGAUAACUUAUCAUUUUUUAAUGAAAGAUAAUGCCAAUGAAAGAAUUAAAUAUUUUAUUAAAAAAGCACAAGAAAUAUUAUUUAUACUUGGAAAUAGAAUUGAUACAAAAAAAAAUUGUGCAAUAUGUUUGAAAAAGGCAAAGAAGUAUCUUAUGUUUCUUUUAUUGAUCUUAUGCAUCAAAUUACUGAAAGAAUGUAUUAUUUUCAUGAUAUGCACAUUAUACAUUGUAAUUUAAAUAUUAUGGAAUCAAAGGUUACAAAUAAGACUAUUUAAUAUGAUAUUGUAAAAGAAAUUGACUUUGGAAUAUACAAGAUUGAAGUUAGAAGAAAUCCAAAGAUAUAAAGUAUGAUUAUAUUUAUAAUAAACUUAAUUAUAUGGAUUUGGAAGUAUUAAAAAAAAGAUUUCAAACAAUGGCAAUGUAUCUUUUUGAAGUUGAUGUUUAUUCAUUUACAAUGGUAUGUUCUAAGAUAUUUUAAAAAAAAAGGUCUAUUUGAUAAUAUUAUAAAUAAAUAAAAAAAAAAAGACCUUUGAAAGAAUUGAAAAUGUGAAGGACCAAAGUUACCUUCAAAUUAUAAUGACUUGAUUGAGCUUAUCUAAGAAUGUUGGAGGUUGAAUCUUUUAUUUUGGCCAAAGUUUGUAAAUUUUUCAGUUAAAAAAAUAUAUAUUUUUAAAUUUUAAAGUAUAGCAAAUGCAUUAUAUUUUAGAGUAUCCAAAAAUAUUUAUUAUUAAAAUUUAGAACUUCAAGUAUAUAAUAGAUUGUCAUUCUUAAGACUUAUACUGAAAAUUAAAUUAAAUAUAUAAUGAAUUAAUUAUAUUGAUUGUAUUUAAUAUUUAUACAUGCUCUUCAAUGCUACAAUGAUAUUUAGAUGUCUUACUAUGAGAUCUAGUUAAUAAGGCUAGAUUAAAAUGUAGUAUAAAUAUCAUUAAAAUAUGGUAUAAAUAAAUUAUUUUACAAGUUAGUUUGUAGGAUAUAGAAUUGUGGACUUUGACUUUAAGAUUUUGACUUCUAAUAUAAAAUUUUUUUUAAGAAUUUUAAAAAUAACAUUAGAUCUAUUUUUAGAUUUUAUAUUCUAUUUACUAUCUUUUUAUAAACAAAUUAAUUUAUAUUGUGAAAAAAUUCAAAGAUGAGGCAAAAAUUACAUAAAUCAUCUUGCUUCUAACCAUAAUAAAGAAAUUGGCUUUCUUAUAUUAAAUCUUGUUGUUGUGCUUGAGUGCUAAUCUUCUCUCUUAUUUUUUGAAGUUGACAUUUUAUAUGCUUGCUACUUCACCUUAUUGUUUGUUUAGGAAAAAUUAGUGCACUUUUCACACAAAUAGAAGCUGCAAAAAAAUUUCUUCCAUGAAUCUUAUUUGCAAAUUUUUUAAUAUAAAAUAUCAUUGGAUUUCUUUUUAUAUUUUCUAUUUUAAAUAUGUAAUUGAAUUAUUCCCAAAAUAUGUAAUUUUGUAGAUAUUGAGGAUCUGACCAUUUUAAUUUUUGAGUUGAAUUUGCAAAUGGAUAGAAUUAUGAAAGUUUUUUAUUUGAUCUAUCUUCUUAUUUUAGGGAUCUACAUAUUCAAUAGUGGACUUAGAAUGUUCUACAAGUUUUUUAAUUUUUAGAUAUAAAUCCUUUAAUUUUUUACUUUUUUUUAUUAACUUUAUUCUUACUUUAUCUACUUCCUUCUUUGUUUGUAUAGUGAUUCUUUUGAUCCUAUUGGUAUGUUUAGAAUCUUCAACAAGUCUAUAUUUUAGGAGAUAUGGGAUUUUCAAAGUUGCAAAUUUAUCCUUUGUAUAAUAUAUGAAAAAGAAUAAUAAAUAAAUAAAUAAAUAAUACAUAUAUUCAUUACUUUGAACAUAUAAAAUAGCUUUCAUAGCAUUAGUAUCUAGUUGAAAUUAAAUUAAAAAAAAAAAAAAAAAAAAAAAUUGUGUACACUGGAGUGUAUUUUUCUUUUUUACCAUUGAGAAAAUGAGGAAGGUUAAUGUACAUGUAUAAUACUGGUAGUGGCUUUCCAGCGAAGGAAUAACCUCAUCAAACUACUCCACCUUCGCCAUGUAGCAAACUAAACCCGCAGGCUUCACAUCGCUCGAAACUGUCGGAGUUACGAGUAGGUCAUAAGGUCCAUUACCUUUCCGACCUUAUAAUGACGCCGUCGCAGUGAUGAAAAGAGACGUCGAAGCGGGUGACGGGGUUUUGGAGUGACGGCGUGACGCAGUCGGUGGGAUGGACGGGGAUGACGUAGGGGAUGUCGGGAAAAUGUAGUGACGCCGUUACGCCGUCGCGUGACCGUUGAAGGCUUCGAAGGGAAUACCAAUGUGCCUCCUCAUCAAGGCCGCGUCAUAAUUAGUUCCUUCUGGAACAGAUACCAUGGAAAAGGUUUCCUGGUGCGCGGAAUUCGCACCGAGAAAGCUCCUUCGAGUGCACAGCACCUACGUCAUGAAAGGUGUUGGGCCUGAACCUGGCGCGCCAGCAUUGACAGAGUUGGACACUUCCUGAUGCCUCCCUAUGGGUACCCACCAUCAUCUCGGAACCGUGAUGGCAACUCCAACUAAUCAAUUGGUUCUCCCUCAGGCAGCGAAUAAACCACGGCGGCAGCUGGGUUUCAAAGUCAAAUUGCGCGGGGGUGCAGACCUUCAACUGUCACCAAGAGCUCCGGUGCCUGAUCACGCUGUUCUGUUGGUUUCGAAUUGCAGAGUCUUGCUUGGUGGAUCUGGUGAGUGAGCGGGAGCGCUCAGAGCUCAUUCUCCAGUUUCCCCCAGUCAUGAUAUUCGCCGAGAAGCGCACCCCAACGGUGCCCGCAUUUCUCUACUCGAUCGAGGCUCGCAGGACUGGCAUUUCUGCUCUCCCUUCGCUGUUCCAGACCUUGACCACGGAGGCCAGCAGCAAUGUGGCCCCGGCGUACACCUCCUCCAGCUUGUUCAAGCAGGUGGCCAGCGCCGCGAAGACCUCCACCGGGGUGGCGUCGUCGGUGAUGGUGCCCUCCCCCAGUGAGCCGGGCAAGAUUGUGAUGUUCUCGGGCGAGUACUACCGCGCGUGCGCCGUGGGAGGGAUGAUGUGCUGCGGGCUGACGCACAUGGGGGUGACGCCCAUCGACGUGGUGAAGUGCAACAUGCAGAUCGCGCCCGAGAAGUACAAGUCGAUCUCGAGCGGGUUUUCGUUGCUGGUGAAGGAGCAAGGCGCCGUGGGGCUGGUCCGCGGAUGGGUGCCGACUCUGAUGGGAUACAGCGUGCAGGGCGCUUGCAAGUACGGGUUCUACGAGUACUUCAAGAAGACGUAUUCGGACAUGGCCGGGGCCGAGGACGCCAAGAGGUUCAAGACGUUGAUCUACUUGGGGGCGUCGGCGUCAGCGGAGGUGAUCGCCGACGUCGGGCUGUGCCCAUUCGAGGCCGUGAAGGUGAGAGUGCAGACGAAUCCGGGAUUCGCGAAGGGCAUCAUGGACGGGAUGCCGAAGCUGAUUGCGUCGGACGGCGUGGGCGGGCUGUUCAAGGGGUUGGUGCCACUGUGGUGCCGGCAGAUCCCGUACACGAUGAUGAAGUUCGCGACAUUCGAGAGCACGGUGGAGGCAAUCUACAAGUACGCGGUGCCGGUGCCUAAGAGCGAGGUGUCAUCGGGCACCCAGUUGGGCAUCUCGUUCACUGCCGGGUACAUUGCGGGAGUGGCGUGCGCCGUGAUCUCGCACCCCGCGGACAACUUGGUGUCGUUCUUGAACAAGUCGAAGGAAGCAACGGUGUCGGGGGCGGUGAAGCAGAUGGGGGUGAAGGCGUUAUUCACUCGCGGGCUGCCGCUGCGUAUCAUCAUGAUCGGUACGUUGACGGGAGCGCAGUGGGGAAUUUACGACUCGUUCAAGGUGUUCGUGGGUCUGCCGACGACGGGCGGUGUGGUGGAGGAGCCCAGGAAGUUAGCGUAGGGGGUAGUAGCGUAGAGCUGGAGGCAUCGUGAGGAGCAAGCACAAGACGGUGAGGACUGGAAGGCGUUUUUCUUGAGCAGCCAGGGGACAGAAAGGAAGCAUAGAAGGAUGCGAGUCAUUCGGGGCACCUUGCGGGAGCAACGAGAGGGGCGCGUGGGAUAUGUUUGUGAUAUCCUGUGGCGUGAGGCGAAUGUUUGGGUAGGCAAGAUCGAAUAGGUCAGGAGUAGAUUCAGGAAGAGCGAAGGUUAUGGCAAGUCCCCUUGUACUUGUGGGAGCUAGCAUCGGCGAGCAGAGGUAAUAGGGUUGAGAAUAGAUCCGACGAGAUGGUACAUUCAAUUGAGGACAUAUGACACGCUGGUGUUGUCGCUUUGGUGACGAUGGUAUUAUUUUUGAGGUGAGAUGAGAGAUAAAUCAGAAGUCGACGAAGCGCAGGCUGAACAUGCGCUGACAUCACGGGUCGGCAGUUUAGUAGAAGGCUACACGAAAUUGCGUAGUUGGGUGAUGCUUAAAUGUGAACUCGGCUUGGCAAUGCAGUGUUUUGUGCUACAUGGGCACACGCUAGAUGGUCAUUCUGCACAUAUAUGCUGUGUGGGUAAGUGGCAGAUUGUUGUGCUGUAGAGGGCGUGAUAUUGCGCUAAUCUUGCACAUGAUGUGAAGUACUAGAGCUGGGUCUGAUUAAAAUUUUCACGGGCGUCAGUAAACGUUCGUGUCAGUAAUCUGGAAUCAUGUCAUAGCGCAAAUCGUUGUAUUCAUUCAAGUUCCAAGUGUGAAAUGAUGAAUGUAAACUUAGGCUUUCGUAAAGAAGGUGCUUUGCUUGGUGAUCGUCUCUGGGACAUCUUCGGUGCUAGUGUAACUUGAUUACUCUGAUGAGUUUCUGCCUUUUCAGUUCUCCUGGAUUUGAAAAGCUACCAUAGAAGCACCUACCAGAAAAUAAUGGUCAAACAUAUCAAUUUCCAGCACGAACCAAUCUUAUUUUUUUAAAAAAUUUUAAACACAGUUUUGAGAUAAUUCAUGUGUUUUUAUUUUAUGAUUUUUAAUGAAUAAACAAAUAGAAGGGGUUGAUUUAGUUCUAAUAAAUUAACAACUUCGAAUGAAUAAGCCACGUCAUCAAAUAUUUAGUUCAUUUGUUGAAUCUGUUCUGAUCUCAAGAAAAGAUUAAAAAAAAUUAUUGUAACAAAAUAUAAUAAAUUAUAAUUAUGUAAGGAUUAUAUAUAUAUAUACAUAUACAUAUAUAUAUAUAUAUAUAUUGGUGACAUAAAAAAGUAAUAAUUAUACAUAAAAUUAACAUUAAAAUUAUUGAAAUAUU
rnacentral:lncRNA from 1 species